AUUGAACGCUGGCGGCAGGCCUAACACAUGCAAGUCGAGCGAGCGGCGGCCGGGUGAGUAAUGUAGGGGGAUCUGCCGGAUAGAGGGGGAUAACUACUGGAAAGGGUGGCUAAUACCGCAAACUAUCGGAUGACCCCAUAUGGGAUUAGCUAGUAGGGGGGGUAAAGGACCACCGAGUGGACGAUCGUUAGCUGGUCGGAGAGGAUGACCAGCCACACUGGAACUGAGACACGGCCCAGACUCCUACGGGAGGCAGCAGUGGGGAAUAUGGCACAAUGGGCGCAAGCCUGAUGCAGCCAUGCCGCGUGUAUGAAGAAGGCCUUAGGGUUGUAAAGUACUUUCAGCGGGGAGGCGUUACCCGCAGAAGAAGCACCGGCUAACUCCGUGCCAGCAGCCGCGGUAAUAC
rnacentral:rRNA from 1 species